CGUGUCAGACCCCUCGGGCUAUUGAGCACAUCAUGUUUUCCCCUUACCCCCUUUUGUCUGAAUUGUUCGUCAGUAUUGUAGCGAGGCGGGAGCCCUGCCUCUCAAGUUGAAAGCCGUCAGCCUUUUAUGACAAGGCAGGCGCUUUCAGCCUUGAUACUUAGGUUGCUUCGGAUGGUGCAAUGCCAAUUGCGCCAUCCGACAAACAUCUUUCUCUUCUUGCACCACCACAUCCUGGUGAUGGUGCAACUGUAUACGUGUCUUUAUCUAUGUUGCAAUAACUAACCCUAAGUAUAAAAGCCCACGCUUUGCCUCAUCCCGGCAGAGUGAUCCCGGCAGUGUACUCCCUAACAAGUGGUAAAUACAAGUUUCCUUAUAAUAUACUUUGUGUUUAUGUGUUAGUAUUAGUUCAGUAUAAGUGUAACUUCAGUGUGAGUGUAUAUUGUGAUCCAAUCAUCACAGUAUCUUAAUAUUCGUGGAGCCAGUAGGUUGCAGAAUACAGCUGUCUCAAAGAUUUUCAAGUCUUCAAGUUAAUGUUAGGAAAUAUCCGACAUUAUUUAGAAUUUAAUUCUUUUUGAAGUUAAUGUUAGGAAAUAUCCGACAGUGACCAUAAAUAACUAGAAACUUUUUGUGGAAUUAACCGUGGUCAGUAUGGGACCUCUGUCCUGUUUUACCCCCACAUUUUUCCUCAUCAACCAUUUUUCCCCUAUUUUUCAAAAUUCAUUGUAAUCGUGAACUAUAAAACGUAUGGCGAUGAGGAAAUUCCCUAAUGUAAUAUAAACAACGCUCUUUAUACAAAUCUAAUUUAUUCAGCAUUGUUACAAACUGAAUUACAGACAAAACAAAGUUUUGGUCCUGUAAGACCCCGCUCUCUCCUACUUAUUUUAAAUUUGUAAUGAGCUAAGAUUAUUUUGCUAGUACUACAGCUUCACAAAAGCUACUUUAUGUAUGCUUACAUAUUCGCAUUGAAGAUUUUCUAUCGCAAUUAUCGAUAACAAUAUAUAGCAGACAAUUAUCUCAUCUAUCGAUAAAUAAAUAGCGUUCGACGAAAAUUUUUUGUCUUUUUGUUUCGUCUGUUUUUUUUUUAUCUUUUGAAGUUUUGAGCAUUACUUAUUCCCUUUACACAUUACAUUAUAAAUGGCGUCUUUUAUAAACAAGGGCCGUCACAAGAAAAUAUUGAAAGGAAGAGCUACCACUGCCAUUGAUGCAAAUUACAUAUUGAAUAUUUUAAGAAAGUAAAAGAAAGUGGUGACGGUGUAGUGGAAGUGGAGGAAUUACCACUGAUAUCUACAAGUCCAGAAUAUUUGGGAAAUGUACACCCUGAUCAUGAGGACUCAAACUGCAACAUCACAGAUAGUGGAGAUUGUAUUCAAGCUAAAAUAUCGGAAGUUACUGUACGUAAAGACCAGCAUGGGUAAACAAAUAACACUGUGAAAAAUACUGACAAAUAACACAACAGCAAUGUUACUGAUGAUUGAAUUUCACUUCAGACGACGGUUACCCGAAAGUUGUCCAAAACUGUGGUCACAAACACCGUUUAUCAAUCGAACAAUAGCUCCCAUAGUUCUUGGAACAUUACGCUCUACCAGAAAUCAUGACGUAGGUCGAUCCCAACGUAAGAAGUGAUUUGAACUCUGGGUCUGGGUGCUGCAGUAAAACUUACUACUGAACACAAAGAAAUACCUGUCAAUGUUUUUAUUGUCAUAUAUGUACAAAUGAACAUGUAGACUGCAAAUAUGAGAGAGUCAAGAAGGGAAUAAAAAAUCUGAUGUUUUGAACACAAUUUUUUUGUCUUGUGGUUUUACUGUUUAGCUGGUUUGGUAGGCAGUUAAUUGAACAAGAAUGACCUGGGUGCCGUCUUUCCUCGUCUUUCCACCACGCGUAAUGGUGUUCACUGCUUUUUGGACUGGGAUGGGAAGGGUGACCUCGAUGGAGCCUUUGGAAACUUGAUCCUUAUGCUGCCGAGUAAACUUCAGAUCAUCUGUUUAAAGCAUGAAUUUUGGGAUCGCAAGUUGCUAUCUCUCCUUUUUUUAAUUCCAUCUCCGAAUAACGCCUCUAUUUCAUAUUCUAUUGAGAAACCAACUAAGCGAAAACGAAUUUCGUCGGCGCCGGCUGGAAGGACGCAGAACAUAAUGACUUUUCUUGCUCUGCUACAUGGUCUUUGUAGACAGAGACGACGAUGGGUUGAUUAUGAUGAUUAAAUCUUGAGUCCAGAUUCGCAAAGGCAGUAGCGCCUUCUUCCUCUUUUAACUUAGUAAUUUUUGUUACACCUCUAUUUCUGCUGCAGCCUCAUUUGAGGCGGUCGCUUCACCGUGUCGCUUCCUCACUGAAUAAAUUAACAUACAUGUAAUUCAAAUACUACAAAAAUUUAAGAGCAAAUGCUUACAUAACAGACCAAUAGAGCUUCUCAAAUCGUUGAACACAUUACAAAACACACUCAAUGAGAAUUCUUUUAAUAUUUCAUGUUCGUCUUAGAUUGUUUUAGGUUGUGUAGUACCUUCAAUGGUACCGUCUUGAAAAAUUUGUUCGAGAACAACAUGAACCGGAUUUCCCGAAUCACGAUUCCAACAAUUAGGAACCGUAGCCAUAAAAAAGCAAAAGAAUUGAAAACAUGUUUGCUGGCAUGGUUGAAAACUAGAAGAGUUUUUAAUCGUCUGCUCAGUUGUUGCCAUUUUAUCGAUUUGAUAACAUUAAUAUAUUUAAAAAAUUCAA